rnacentral:tRNA from 1 species
GGUUGUGGCUCAGUGGUAGAGUGCUUGCCUAGCAUGCAUGAUGCACUGGAUUCCAUCCCCAGCACCA